AUGAAAGAAGAGUGGUAGCUGUCUGACACAACGUGGAUCACCAACCCUCACUGACACACGCGUGAUACAGGUGACGAUCAAUUUUCAGUCAACACAAUGGCUGCCUCGGUGAUGAUGUGGAUAGCAUGCUUGGUAAUUGCUACUGAAGCCACUCCAUGCAAGGAAACCUAUCACUGUUCAGACUGUGACAGAGAGUCCGGGGAUUGCCU